GACAGAGGGUGCAAACGUUUGUUCGGAUUUACUGGGCGUAAAGCGCGUGUAGGCGGCUUUGCAAGUCGGAUGUGAAAGCCCACGGCUCGACCGUGGAAGUGCAUCCGAAACUGCAUGGCUCGAGUCUCGGAGAGGAAGGUGGAAUGCUUGGUGUAGAGGUGAAAUUCGUAGAUAUCAAGCAGAACACCUGCGGCGAAAGGCGGCCCUUCUGGACGAUGACUGACGCUGAGACGCGAAAGCGUGGGGAGCAGACAGG
rnacentral:rRNA from 1 species